rnacentral:rRNA from 1 species
GGGUUGUGAGGUUAAGCGACUAAGCGUACACGGUGGAUGCCCUGGCAGUCAGAGGCGAUGAAGGGCGUGCUAAUCUGCGAUAAGCGCCGGUAAGGUGAUAUGAACCGUUAUAACCGGCGAUACCCGAAUGGGGAAACCCAGUGUGAUUCGUCACACUAUCAUUAACUGAAUCCAUAGGUUAAUGAGGCGAACCGGGGGAACUGAAACAUCUAAGUACCCCGAGGAAAAGAAAUCAACCGAGAUUCCCCCAGUAGCGGCGAGCGAACGGGGAGGAGCCCAGAGCCUGAAUCAGCAUGUGUGUUAGUGGAAGCGUCUGGAAAGGCGCGCGAUACAGGGUGACAGCCCCGUACACAAAAGCGCAUGUGCUGUGAGCUCGAUGAGUAGGGCGGGACACGUGGUAUCCUGUCUGAAUAUGGGGGGACCAUCCUCCAAGGCUAAAUACUCCUGACUGACCGAUAGUGAACCAGUACCGUGAGGGAAAGGCGAAAAGAACCCCGGCGAGGGGAGUGAAAAAGAACCUGAAACCGUGUACGUACAAGCAGUGGGAGCACAGGUUUACCUGUGUGACUGCGUACCUUUUGUAUAAUGGGUCAGCGAGUUAUAUUCUGUAGCAAGGUUACCCGAAUAGGGGAGCCGGAUGGAAACCGAGUCUUAAUA